AGCGUUGUCCGGAAUUACUGGGCGUAAAGAGCUCGUAGGUGGUUUGUUGCGUCGUCUGUGAAAUUCCGGGGCUUAACUUCGGGGUGGCAGGCGAUACGGGCAUAACUAGAGUGCUGUAGGGGAGACUGGAAUUCCUGGUGUAGCGGUGGAAUGCGCAGAUAUCAGGAGGAACACCGAUGGCGAAGGCAGGUCUCUGGGCAGUAACUGACGCUGAGGAGCGAAAGCAUGGGGAGCGAACAGGAUUAGAUACCCUGGUAGUCCAUGCUGUAAACGGUGGGCGUUAGGUGUGGGGACCGGUUUGGUUUCUGUGCCGUAGCUAACGCAUUAAGCGCCCCGCCUGGGGAGUACGGCCGCAAGGCUAAAACUCAAAGGAAUUGACGGGGGCCCGCACAAG
rnacentral:rRNA from 1 species